AUAGUACUCCCUUCGUCCUGAAAUGCUUGUCCUAAAAAUGAAUAAAGUGGAUGUAUCUAUAACUAAAAUAAGUCUAGAUACAUCCAUUUCUAGGACAAAUAUUUCCGGACGAAAGGAGUACGUG
rfam:Hordeum vulgare subsp. vulgare, WGS project CAJW01000000 data, contig: morex_contig_6918